CUGUCUGUUCGCGACGGUUUCCAUCUGUGAAGCCCAGCCGCCACGUCUCAUUUGGCCGACCGCUGACCGACCCAUACUUAGGAUUUUUGCUGCGAGUUCGACAUUCGUGCGUUGAGGUGUUGGGAGUAACGUUAGGCUCCCUUACAUUCACAACCAGAUUGUGAAUUGUUGAAGGUUCAGUUCGCCAUUAUAUCGGAUUGUUUCGAGGACGUUAGUGAUUAAGGAGCUUCCCUAACUUUGAGGCAAAGGUAAUAAAGGCGGCAAACCGGCGAGGGCAGGAAGGAAGCGUGAUGCCAU